rnacentral:rRNA from 1 species
AGUGAACGCUGGCGGUAGGCCUAACACAUGCAAGUCGAACGGCAGCACAGUAAGAGCUUGCUCUUACGGGUGGCGAGUGGCGGACGGGUGAGGAAUACAUCGGAAUCUACUUUUUCGUGGGGGAUAACGUAGGGAAACUUACGCUAAUACCGCAUACGACCUACGGGUGAAAGCAGGGGAUCUUCGGACCUUGCGCGAUUGAAUGAGCCGAUGUCGGAUUAGCUAGUUGGCGGGGUAAAGGCCCACCAAGGCGGCGAUCCGUAGCUGGUCUGAGAGGAUGAUCGCCCACACUAGAGCUUGGACACGGUCCAUACUCCUACGGGAGGGAGCAGUCGGGAAUAUUGGACAAUGGGCGCAAGCCUGAUCCAGCCAUACCGCGUGGGUGAAGAAGGCCUUCGGGUUGUAAAGCCCUUUUGUUGGGAAAGAACAGCAGCAGGUUAAUACCCCGCUGUUCUGACGGUACCCAAAGAAUAAGCACCGGCUAACUUCGUG